rnacentral:rRNA from 1 species
CCUACGGGAGGCAGCAGUGAGGAAUAUUGGUCAAUGGCCGAGAGGCUGAACCAGCCAAGUCGCGUGAGGGAAGACGGCCCUACGGGUUGUAAACAUCUUUUGUCGGGGAGCAAAGCGAACCACGUGUGGUUCAUUGAGAGUACCCGAAGAAAAAGCAUCGGCUAACUCCGUCCCAGCAGCCGCGGUAAUACGGAGAAUGCGAGCGUUAUCCGGAUGUAUUGGAUUUAAAGGGUGCGCAGGCGGAGGUGCAAGUCAGCGGUCAAAUUGCGGGGCUCAACCCCGUACUGCCGUUGAAACUGCAUCCCUUGAGUGCGCGAGAAGUAUGCGGAAUGCGUGGUGUAGCGGUGAAAUGCAUCGAUAUAACGCAGAACCCCGAUUGCGAAGGCAGCCUUCCGGCGCCCUACUGACGCUGAGGCACGAAAGUGCGGGGAUCGAACAGGAUUAGAUACCCGAGUAGUC